rnacentral:rRNA from 1 species
AGGAAGUAAAAGUCGUAACAAGGUUUCCGUAGGUGAACCUGCGGAAGGAUCAUUACCGAGUGUAGGGUUCCUAGCGAGCCCAACCUCCCACCCGUGUUUACUGUACCUUAGUUGCUUCGGCGGGCCCGCCGCAAGGCCGCCGGGGGGCAUCCGCCCCCGGGCCCGCGCCCGCCGGAGACACCACGAACUCUGAACGAUCUAGUGAAGUCUGAGUUGAUUGUAUCGCAAUCAGUUAAAACUUUCAACAAUGGAUCUCUUGGUUCCGGCAUCGAUGAAGAACGCAGCGAAAUGCGAUAACUAGUGUGAAUUGCAGAAUUCCGUGAAUCAUCGAGUCUUUGAACGCACAUUGCGCCCCCUGGUAUUCCGGGGGGCAUGCCUGUCCGAGCGUCAUUGCUGCCCAUCAAGCACGGCUUGUGUGUUGGGUCGUCGUCCCCUCCUCCGGGGGGGGACGGGCCCUAAAGGCAGCGGCGGCACCGCGUCCGAUCCUCGAGCGUAUGGGGCUUUGUCACCCGCUCUGUAGGCCCGGCCGGCGCUUGCCGAACGCAAAACAACCAUUCUUUCCAGGUUGACCUCGGAUCAGGUAGGGAUACCCGCUGAACUUAAGCAUAUC